GGAGGAAAAGAAACCAACAGGGAUUGCCUUAGUAGCGGCGAGUGAAGCGGCAAAAGCUCAAAUUUGAAAUCUGGCACUUUCAGUGUCCGAGUUGUAAUUUGAAGAAGGUAUCUUUGGGUCUGGCUCUUGUCUAUGUUUCUUGGAACAGAACGUCACAGAGGGUGAGAAUCCCGUGCGAUGAGAUGUCCCAGACCUAUGUAAAGUUCCUUCGAAGAGUCGAGUUGUUUGGGAAUGCAGCUCUAAGUGGGUGGUAAAUUCCAUCUAAAGCUAAAUAUUGGCGAGAGACCGAUAGCGAACAAGUACAGUGAUGGAAAGAUGAAAAGAACUUUGAAAAGAGAGUGAAAAAGUACGUGAAAUUGUUGAAAGGGAAGGGCUUGAGAUCAGACUUGGUAUUUUGUAUGUUACUCUCUCGGGGGUGGCCUCUACAGUUUACCGGGCCAGCAUCAGUUUGGGCGGUAGGACAAUUGCAAAGAAAUGUGGCACUGCCUCGGUAGUGUGUUAUAGUCUUUGUCGAUACUGCCAGCCUAGACUGAGGACUGCGGCUUCGGCCUAGGAUGUUGGCAUAAUGAUCUUAAGUCGCCCG
rnacentral:rRNA from 1 species